rnacentral:rRNA from 1 species
AGGGUUUGAUCAUGGCUCAGAACGUACGCUGGCGGCACGCCUAACACAUGCAAGUCGAACGAAGUAGCAAUACUUAGUGGCAGACGGGUGAGUAACAUGUGGGUAUCUGCCCUUUGGCCUGGAAUAACACGAGGAAACUUGUGCUAAUACCGGAUAAGUCUUUACGGAGAAAGCUUUAUGCACCAUUGGAUGAGCCCGCACUUGAUUAGUUUGUUGGUGGGGUAAUGGCCUACCAAGACUGUGAUCAAUAGCUGAUUUGAGAGGAUGAUCAGCCACAUUGGGACUGAGACACGGCCCAAACUCCUACGGGAGGCAGCAGUGGGGAAUCUUGCACAAUGGAGGAAACUCUGAUGCAGCGAUGCCGCGUGAGUGAAGAAGGCCCUUGGGUUGUAAAGCUCUUUCGUCGGGGAAGAAAAUGACUGUACCCGAAUAAGAAGGUCCGGCUAACUUCGUGGCAGCAGCCGCGGUAAUACGAAGGGACCUAGCGUAGUUCGGAAUUACUGGGCUUAAAGAGUUCGUAGGUGGUUGAAAAAGUUAGUGGUGAAAUCCCAGAGCUUAACUCUGGAACUGCCAUUAAAACUUUUCAGCUAGAGUAUGAUAGAGGAAAGCAGAAUUUCUAGUGUAGAGGUGAAAUUCGUAGAUAUUAGAAAGAAUACCAAUUGCGAAGGCAGCUUUCUGGAUCAUUACUGACACUGAGGAACGAAAGCAUGGGUAGCGAAGAGGAUUAGAUACCCUCGUAGUCCAUGCCGUAAACGAUGUGUGUUAGACGUUGGAAAUUUAUUUUCAGUGUCGCAGCGAAAGCGAUAAACACACCGCCUGGGGAGUACGACCGCAAGGUUAAAACUCAAAUGAAUUGACGGGGACCCGCACAAGUAGUGGAGCAUGUGGUUUAAUUCGAAGAUACGCGCAGAACCUUACCAACACUUGACAUGUUCGUCGCGACUCUAAGAGAUUAGAGUUUUCGGUUCGGCCGGACGAAACACAGGUGCUGCAUGGCUGUCGUCAGCUCGUGUCGUGAGAUGUUGGGUUAAGUCCCGCAACGAGCGCAACCCUCACUUUUAGUUGCCAUCAUUAAGUUGGGCACUCUGAAAGAACUGCCAGUGAUAAGCUGGAGGAAGGUGGGGAUGACGUCAAGUCCUCAUGGCCCUUACGUGUUGGGCUACACACGUGCUACAAUGGUAUCUACAACAGGAAGCAAGACUGCGAGGUCAAGCAAAUCCUUAAAAGAUACCUCAGUUCGGAUUGCACUCUGCAACUCGAGUGCAUGAAGCUGGAAUUACUAGUAAUCGUGGAUCAGCGUGCCACGGUGAAUGCGUUCCCGGGUCUUGUACACACCGCCCGUCACACCAUGGGAGUUGGUUCUACCUUAAGGCAAGGUUUCAAACCCUUGACCACGGUAUAGUCAGCGACUGGGGUGAAGUCAUAACAAGGUAGCCGUA